AGAGGGUGCAAGCGUUAAUCGGAAUUACUGGGCGUAAAGCGCGCGUAGGUGGUUUGUUAAGUUGGAUGUGAAAGCCCCGGGCUCAACCUGGGAACUGCAUUCAAAACUGACAAGCUAGAGUAUGGUAGAGGGUGGUGGAAUUUCCUGUGUAGCGGUGAAAUGCGUAGAUAUAGGAAGGAACACCAGUGGCGAAGGCGACCACCUGGACUGAUACUGACACUGAGGUGCGAAAGCGUGGGGAGCAAAC
rnacentral:rRNA from 1 species